CCCCGACCCUCCACUUUGGUGUGUCGGUCUUUCGUGGAAGCUCUUUUGGGCGGAGCAGCAGCCAACGGCAUCCUUAUCGCCGUCGGCACAUGGACUGCGACGGGCAUAACACCAAGAGGCGCAGGUGAUCUAUCCUCCGAGUCAGGCUCUUCCUUUAGAGCAACCUCCUUCGCUGUGGGGUCUACCUUGUCCGGGUGUGCAUCUCCAGCCUCGCUGAUUCUGAGAUCAACGUUCCCAGUCUCAUCGUCUUCUUCAAGUUCUUGUUUCUGGAUUAUUGUUGCCAUCUCUGUAAAGGAGAACAGAUAAAAAGCGUCACAAGUUUUGGCAAACGUCACAGAAAGAAACGAAGGGAAGAGAGAGAGAGAGAGAGAGCACAGAAGGAAAGGAAGCAAUUAAGCGUGG
rnacentral:misc_RNA from 1 species